UGCCGGCAUCCCAUAUGGGUGCCAGUUCGAGUCCUGGCUGCUCCUCUUCCGAUCCAGCUCUCUACUAUGGCCUGGGAUAGCAGUAGAAGAUGGCCCAAGUCCUUGGGCCCCUGCACUUGCACGGGAGACCCAGAAGAAGCUCCUGGUUCCUGGAUUCAGAUAUUCCGAUCAGCGCAGCUCCAGCUGUUGCAGCCAUCUGGGAAGUGAACCACCAGAUGGAAGACCUCUCUCUCUCUCCCUCUAUAACUCUGACUUUCAAGUAACUAAAAUAAAUCUUUAAAAAAAUUUUAAAAUGAAGUCAGAAUGGAUCAAAGACUUAUGAUUUAUUAAAUGACUAAAAUAUAAUCAUGACUCUGCAUGACCUUGGUUUAGGCAUAGAUUUUUAGAGAUGAUACCAAAGCACAAGCAAAAUAGAAAAAAAUAGAUAAAUUGAGCUUCACUAGAAUUAAAUUUUUUGUACAUCAAAGGACACUAUCAACUAAGAUAACCUUCAGGCAUUGUAGCACAGGGGGUUAAGCCACUGUCUGCAAUGCCAGCAUCCCAUAUAGGACUACUGAUUCGAGUUCUGGCUGCUCCACUUCCAAUCCAGCUCCCUGCUAAUAGGUCUGAGGAAGCAGUAGUCCCUGCCACUCAUGGAGACCUGAAUGGAGUUCCUGGUUCCUGGUUUCAGGUUUCACUCCAGCCAUGUGACCAUUUAGGGAAUGAAAUAGUAGAUGGAUGAUUUCUCUCUAACUCUGUAUUCCAAGUAAAUAAAUAAAAGAGAAUCUACAGAAUUGGAGAGCAUAUUUGCAAACCAUGUAUCUAAUAAGGGUCCAGUAUCCAGAACAUAUAAAGAACCCUUACAAAAAGACAAACAAGACAGGGCAGGCAUUUGGCACAGUGCUUGGGCCUCCGCUUGGGAUGCCCACGUCCUGAGUUGGAGUGCCUGGGUUCGAGUCCUGGCUUCUCUCCAUUUCAGCUUCUGUCAGUGAUGCAGACGCUGGGAGACAGCAGGCACGGACUACAGUGGCUGGGUCCCUGCCAUCCACAGGAAUUGAAUGGGAUGCAUUGAGCUUCUGGUUCCUGACUGUGGCUUGGCCCUGCCCUGGUUGUUGUGGACAUUUGGGUGGCAAACCAGUGGAUGGGCAAUCUCUAUUUAUUCAUCUUCCUCUCUACAUUUCAAAUAAAAUAAACAUUAAAAAAAGACAAACAGACUAAUUAAAACAUGACCAAAGACUUGAAGGGCUAUUUCUCCAAAUAAAAUAUACAAACAGCAUGAACAUAGAGAUAUUCAACAUCACUAGUUAUUAAGGAAAUGAAAACCAAAACCACAGUAAGAUAGAUAGUCUUCACACACCCAACAGGCUGACUAUAAUAUUUUUUAAGAUUUAUUUAUUUAUUUGAAAAGCAAAAGCAAAUGUGCUACAGAGACAGAGGCAGAGACACACAGAGAGAGGUCUUCCAUCCACUUCUUCAUUCCCUGGAUGGCCACAAUGGCCAGUGCUGGGCCAAGCCAAAGUCAGGAGCCAGGAGCCUCUUCUGGGUCUCCCACGUGGAUGGCAGGGGCCCAACACUUAGGCCAUCUUCUACUGCUUUUACAGGCACAUUAGCAAGGAGCUGGGUCAGAAGUGGAGCAGCCAGGACACAAACUGGCACCCAUAUGGGAUGUUGGUGUUGUAGUUAGUAGCUUUACCUGCUAUACUACAAUGCCAGCCCCUGACCACAAUUUUUUGAAAGGGAAAAUAUCAUCCAUUUUUACACCAUUCUUCCAAUAUAAACUUCACCGUAAAUUUUAUGUUUGUUCUUGCUUCAAUGUUAGUAGAAUUCAUGGUGCCCUGAUAGGGUCUGUUUUCAAACUGAUGUCUCAUCCUGAACCAGGGCCAGAGCCAGGAGCUACAAGCACCACCCAAGUCUCCCACGUAAAAUGGCAGGAACACAGUUACUUCACUGUUGCCUCCGCACUGGUGGGAAGCUGGAAUUAGGAGCUGGAGCCAGGAAUUGAAUCCCGGCCUCCUGACUUGGCACAAGGGCAUAUUCAUCGCUUGGCUAAAUGCCACCUCCCCUGACAACUGAUCUCUGACAAAGUGGCAAGACAAUUCAGCAGAGAAGGAAGAGUCAUUUUACUUUCUGAUCCUUAAACUUUCCCAUCUUCAGCUGGUGGGAACCUCUUCAGAUGUGUUCCUGAGUCAUUAGCAGGUUGUUUUGAUGUUUGAUGUAACCAUUUGAUUGCUUUCUGGUGCAGCAAGUGUACUCUGUACACUUCCUGCCCCAGACUGGAGUCAGUCAUUUCUUCAACGACUUCUGGAACAUAUUAGUGGGAAAUUGGUGCAUUAUCUGUUUUUGUAACACACAUUUUCCAAGAACUAUUCCAAGACCUCUCCUCUGCAUGGAUUUCAAAGCUUUUUGCACCAAAACAAACUUAUCUUUUCAUUCAGUGUUUCCAAGGGGUCUGAGUCUCUAGCUAGCCUGUCUUUGUCUGGCUGUAGCUGUUGUAAUUGCUUAUUUUUUCUUUUCACUGAGUAGGGAGGCCCCCAAAAAUGUGUUCCCUGGACUCCAAGAGUACUCCUUCAAACUCAGUUGUGUAGACCAGCAAUUCUGCACCCUUGCUGGAGUCAGGGGAGCUGCCCUCCCCGUAUGAUAACGGUGUGGGAAGCAGGAUGCUGCUCUCCCUCCAGGGGAACGAAGGGAGCAAGACGUCGACCCCCUCAGGGUGAACAAGAUGACGCUGACAGGGAAAGGAACUGCUAAAGAAGUAAACAACAAAAUGGUGAUGAGGUGCAUGCCUCCCAUGUGAUCCCGUAGCUGACUGGAUAGAAGACACAUGCCUUUCACAUGAUCAGCUCACGGAUUGGACUGCUGUGUGCAUGCCUCCCAUGUGAUCCCGUAGCUGAUUGGAUAGAAGACGCAUGCCUUUCACAUGAUCAGCUCAUGGAUUGGACUGCUGUGUGCAUGGACACUAUAGUGCUUUUGAUUGGUCGCUGCGGGUAUAUAAACCGUGUGGCUUUGUGCUGGGCGCUCUCUGGACUCCCGAGUUCAGGAGGCCCAUCUGCGCAGACGCCGAAUAAAUCCUCUUGCUUUUGCA